rnacentral:tRNA from 1 species
GGGGUUGUGGCUCAGUGGUAGAGUGCUUGCCUCACAUGUAUGAGGCACUGGGUUCAAUCCUCAGCACCACA